rnacentral:tRNA from 1 species
GCCGAUGUGGUGGAAUUGGCAGACGCACCGGACUCAAAAUCCGGCGGUAGUGAUACCAUGUGGGUUCAAGUCCCACCGUCGGCACCA